UACGGGGGGGGCUAGCGUUAUUCGGAAUUAUUGGGCGUAAAGAGCUCGUAGGCGGUUUGUCGCGUCUGCCGUGAAAGUCCGGGGCUCAACUCCGGAUCUGCGGUGGGUACGGGCAGACUAGAGUGAUGUAGGGGAGACUGGAAUUCCUGGUGUAGCGGUGAAAUGCGCAGAUAUCAGGAGGAACACCGAUGGCGAAGGCAGGUCUCUGGGCAUUAACUGACGCUGAGGAGCGAAAGCAUGGGGAGCGAACAGG
rnacentral:rRNA from 1 species